rnacentral:lncRNA from 1 species
GCCGAGGACCAGGCGCGGGAGCGGGAGCGGGCGACUGGCCGGGCCCUCCCGGUCUCGGCAGCCACUUCUAGCUCCCGGCCCAGCCGGGAGACGCAGGUGCCACGGAGAUGGGCAGCCGGGCGGGUGGCGCAGUGCAGGCAGCUGUAUCAAUCGCUUCCCCUCCAGGGACCCGCCGGUGCCUGGGGACCGCGGGCUGUGCAGCUGUGCCGGGCCUGCGGAGGCCGCCGCCCGGGAGCUGGGAGGCAGGGGGCGCGUGGUCAAGAGCCGCCCUCGACCUGGCCUGGUCGGUCCUGGCCCGGCGUAGGUGACGAUGGCGGGGACCGCGAGGCGCCGGACACCCGAGGCCACGAGCAGCGUCGCCCCUCGCUUUUUCGCGCCCCUCCAGCCCUGCAGUCCUUCCUCUAAGUCCGUCUGCCCCUCACCGAUUGAAAGUGGCCCCGAGAAUAUUGGAUGACCUACUGAUGUGUUGACAGAGUGAUCUGGUGUCAGGACUGUAAAAUACGCCUAUGAAAACUGGGGGAGAGGAAUAAAACAAGCUGGCAGAACGUUUUUCAUCGUUGAAGCUGCGUGAUGCGAGCAUAUGUGCUCAUCAUACAGUCUCUUUACUUGUGUAUCUGAAAUUUUCCAUAAUAAAAAGUUUAAAGAAGUGAACCAGCGAUUGCCUCUAGGGAGGACAGUGAGGUGGCGGAUGACGGGAGGAAGGAGUCUUAAUUUUUCGCUGUACGCCUUUUUGUGCUAUCUUAGGUUUUUCCCAUUCAAUGUGUUACCUAAUUCAGAAAAUUGGUAAGUUUUUUUUAAGGCUACCAUGGGAAAACAGCGUUCUAAAGAGUAGCGCAACCAGUUCCCCCUAAGAGAGGUGCAUGAUUCGUCGGACUCCGACAGCCUUGGUGUUUGUUAGGCGGUUAAUGGAGACCCACCUGGGAAAUUAGAAAACUACUAAUUGCUUUCAGUGAGAAGCCCGCCCUUCUCCCACAAAUGGAUAAUUUGCUUUUAAUGCACCCAGAAGUUAUCCAGCUCCCUCCGGUAUAAUCGGGGAAACUCCAAAUAAAGGAAAAAUAGUUCAGAGACCCUGCAGCUCUUCCCAAGAGGAAUUUAAGGUGGAUUUUAGUGUGGUUGGAUUGUUUUGCCUACCUGACUGCAGAAUUUAUAUUCUGACAUUUACAAUUUCCUAAAUACUGAAUCAGUACUUUUUCUUGUUUCAAAAUAAAUCAACUUCUUCUGUAGUUUAUAUGAAAAACAAGUCCAUGUCUUCCACUGUGGGUGGGAUGCACAUGACUGUUUUAUUUGGGUCAGUUUUGUCUCUUUUUUUAAUUGGCAGUUUAGGAACUUGUUUUUAUCAUUUUGUUUAAAGAUCUUCUGGCAGAGGUGCAGGCUGCACUUACUAUAAUUAUUUAGAUGACAAGGUGGUGGGUGGUAAUUAAAGGGUAAUUAUCAUCAGAGGCAAAAGGUAAGAUCAAAAAACCAGAAGAGGUGAGGAAACAAUUGCAAGAUCUUCCUGUAGGAGGGUGUCGUGAUCCUCCCAAGACCAAAGGAUAUGUCUAUUAUGCCUGGCCUCUCUAGUGCUGGACACUUGGCAGGGUCAGUGCCUGCAUGAGGCUGAAGUGGAAGGGCUUAUUGUUUAGACUGGUGCCUUUUGAGGGCUUUUAUGUGAUGGUUGUGUUAAGUAAUGAAACUUAGUAGUGUCAAAUUCUUGCCACUCAAAGAAUGAUCCCCAAUCAGCAGUGUAGCAUCACCUGGAAGCCUGUAAGGAACGCAUAAUUCCUAUCCCUCACCCCAGCUCCACUGAAUCAGAACCUGCAUUUUAACAGGAUUCCCCCAGCUGAUUGGGCUGCACAUUAAAGUUUGACAAGCACUGAUUUAAAGUAUACCCAUAGCAUUUGACAGCAAUCUAGUAUUUUUCGUUAGGAUGAGGGAGAGGAAGGGAGAUGAUUAAGAACCUCCUAUGCAUCAGGUAAGAUGCUAGGCUGUUCAGGGGCCUUGUCUGCUUCCCAGUCCAUUACUCUAUCUUACAAGUAAGGAAAUGGGAAGACUUGUAUGUUACAACUAAUGAGGGAGUCAAACUUUUUCUUGACGGUUGGAUACCCUUUAGUACUUCUUGGUGUUCUUGAAUCUGGUAGAAAGUGGUACAUGAUUUGAGAAGUAAAGUGUGUGUGAGUGUGUGUGUGUGUGUGUGUGUGUGUGUGUAUUUAGUCUGUGGAAGCUUAGUAUAUGAAUAUUAAGCAGAGCUCUUCUGGGCUCUGUACCCUUGUGUGGCUCACACUAAAGACACCCCUCGGGCCCCUCCUGGAGGGAGUUCAGACUCCUGGCCCUGCAGGCUGUACCACCACCUUAACCCCUUACCUCCCUGCUUCCACUGAGGCAAGCAAAUGCCCUGAAGUCCCCUCAUUCCCUUACCAGGGCCCUGGGUUCCACACCAGAAUGAGCAAACAGAACUCCAGUGUGGGUAACACAUGGCUGAACAGCUUUUUGUUGUAUUGUUUUUGUUUUCUUAGUUCUCUCAGCUCAGGCUCCAUCCCCCUGGCCACCUCAACCCCUAGAAUGGUUGUCUCCAUUUCAUGAGAAUCUUCACACUAACAUCAAGUAGCCAGUAGGUGCUUUUGGUUUUGCUAGAAUGCCUGUGUGCAAGCUCUCAGAUACCUGAUUUUCUUUCCCCCACUGAAUGUUGUGUUUGUCAGAAACUGAAAUCAUGGAUCAGAGCCAAGUUUGUAGUACCCUUAGGAGGGGCCUCUGCCCUCCUGUGUGCUGCCUGGGUGAGGACAGAACCCCCUAACCUGGAGCUCCACUUGAGUGGGCCCAUACCUGUACUUUCCUCUGAAAAAAGAAAAUCCUGCAAAGAAAAUAGAAGACAUCUGUUCUGCCAUUGCCAUGCCCUUGUUCUAGCCCAGACAUGAGAACUGUCAGAAUUGGAGUUACUAAAUAGAACUUUUAGUCUUUUUCUGAUAAUGUGUAGUAAAGUGUAUUACAACUUAUAGAAUUCUAUUUAGGGAACUACAGGUCAGAAACUACCAUAUUGGUAGCAGUCAAUUUUUCUUUGCCAUCGGAUGUGGAAUAAAAUGUUAAAUUGUACACUUGCAUGUUGUGGUUAUAUUACAAAGCUCUACGAGAUGUGGGCCAGGCCCUGCCCUUUGCUCAUGCAGCCCCAACUUUCUGCUCUGCCCACACCUGACUCCUUGCUGUUUCCCCACCUUAGGGCCUUUGUAUUUCCUAUUCCCUCUGCCUACAACUCCCCCAGAUACCAGCCUGCUUCAAUUCUCUCCUCUAGGUUUUCACUCAGAUGGGACUUUUCAAUGAAUCUCCCCUGACCAACCUAUCUUAAAUUGUUGCAACAUCCUCACUCCUAAAUGUCACUGUCCCUGCUUUACUUUCUUUAAGGGCAUUUAUCUUCCCAUCUAACAUAUCAGGCAUUUUGCAUGUUUAUCUUAAAUGUUGUGCUCCCUCUGAAGGCAGGGAUCUCUGCCUGUCUUGUUUUCUGCUGCAACCCUAGCACCUAGAAGACUGCCUGGCACAAGAG